UACGGGGGGGGUAAGCGUUGUUCGGAAUUACUGGGCGUAAAGGGCUCGUAGGCGGCCAACUAAGUCAUACGUGAAAUCCCUCAGCUUAACUGGGGAACUGCGUGUGAUACUGGAUGGCUUGGAUUUGGGAGAGGGAUGCGGAAUUCCAGGUGUAGCGGUGAAAUGCGUAGAUAUCUGGAGGAACACCGGUGGCGAAGGCGGUUCUCUGGGCCUGUACUGACGCUGAGGAACGAAAGCGUGGGGAGCGAACAGG
rnacentral:rRNA from 1 species